rnacentral:rRNA from 1 species
GAUGAACGCUAGCGGGAGGCCUAACACAUGCAAGCCGAGCGGUAUUGUUUCUUCGGAAAUGAGAGAGCGGCGUACGGGCGCGGAACACGUGUGCAACCUGCCUUUAUCUGGGGGAUAGCCUUUCGAAAGGAAGAUUAGUACUCCAUAAUAUAUUGAACGGCAUCGUUUAAUAUUGAAAGCUCCGGCGGAUAGAGAUGGGCACGCGCAAGAUUGGCUAGUUGGUGAGGUAACGGCUCACCAAGGCAAUGAUCUUUAGGGGGCCUGAGAGGGUGGUCCCCCACACUGGUACUGAGACACGGACCAGACUCCUACGGGAGGCAGCAGUGAGGAAUAUUGGUCAAUGGGUGCAAGCCUGAACCAGCCAUCCCGCGUGAAGGACGACUGCCCUAUGGGUUGUAAACUUCUUUUGUAUAGGGAUAAACCUUUCCACGUGUGGAAAGCUGAAGGUACUAUACGAAUAAGCACCGGCUAACUCCGUGCCAGCCGCCGCCGUAA